CCUACGGGGGGCAGCAGUGGGGGAUAUUGCACAAUGGGGGGAACCCUGAUGCAGCGACGCCGCGUGGGUGAAGGAGCGUUUCGGCGCGUAAAGCUCUAUUGGUAGGGAAGAAGAUGACGGUACGCGACUAAUAAGCCCCGGCUAAAUACGGGCCAGCAGCGGCUGGCAUACGUAGGGGGCAAGCGUUAUCCGGAUUUACUGGGGGUAAAGGGGGCGUAGUCGGGAAUGCAAGCCAAGAGUGAAAGCCAUGGGCCCAACCCCGGGACUGCUGUUGAUACUGCCGGGCUGGAGUUGAGGAGAGGCAGGCGGAAUGCCUGGUGUAGCGGUGAAAUGCGUAGAUAUUAGGAAGAACACCGGUGGCGAAGGCAGCAUACUGGACUGUGACUGACGUUGAGGCACGAAGGCGUGGGGAGCGAACAGGAUUAGAUACCCCGGUAGUC
rnacentral:rRNA from 1 species